AUUGAACGCUGGCGGCAGGCCUAACACAUGCAAGUCGAGCGGAUGAAGGGAGCUUGCUCCUGGAUUCAGCGGCGGACGGGUGAGUAAUGCCUAGGAAUCUGCCUGGUAGUGGGGUAUAACGUCCGGAAACGGGCGCUACUACCGCCUACGUCCUGCGGGUGCAAGUGGGUGAUCUUCGGACCGCACGCUAUCAUAUGAGCCUAGGUCGGAUUAGGUAGUUGGUGGGGUGAAGACAGACCAACGCGAGGAUCCGUAGCUGGUCUGAGUGGAUGAUCAGUCAGACUGGAGCGGAGACACGGCCCAGACGCGAACGGGAGGCAGCAGAGGGGAAUAUUGGACAAUGGGGGAAAGCAUAAUGCAGCCAGGCCGCGUGUGUGAAGAAGGUACGCGGAUUGUAAAGCGAUGUAAGUUGGGAGGAAGGGCAGUAAGUUAAGACCUGGCUGGUUUGACGUUACAAACAGAAUAAGCACCGGCGAACUUCGUG
rnacentral:rRNA from 1 species